rnacentral:rRNA from 1 species
ACGAACGCUGGCGGCGUGCCUAAUACAUGCAGGUCGAGCGAGCUUGCCUAGAUGAAUUUGGUGCUUGCACCAAAUGAAACUAGAUACAAGCGAGCGGCGGACGGGUGAGUAACACGUGGGUAACCUGCCCAAGAGACUGGGAUAACACCUGGAAACCGAUGCUAAUACCGGAUAACAACACUAGACGCAUGUCUAGAGUUUAAAAGAUGGUUCUGCUAUCACUCUUGGAUGGACCUGCGGUGCAUUAGCUAGUUGGUAAGGUAACGGCUUACCAAGGCAAUGAUGCAUAGCCGAGUUGAGAGACUGAUCGGCCACAUUGGGACUGAGACACGGCCCAAACUCCUACGGGAGGCAGCAGUAGGGAAUCUUCCACAAUGGACGCAAGUCUGAUGGAGCAACGCCGCGUGAGUGAAGAAGGGUUUCGGCUCGUAAAGCUCUGUUGGUAGUGAAGAAAGAUAGAGGUAGUAACUGGCCUUUAUUUGACGGUAAUUACUUAGAAAGUCACGGCUAACUACGUGCCAGCAGCCGCGGUAAUACGUAGGUGGCAAGCGUUGUCCGGAUUUAUUGGGCGUAAAGCGAGUGCAGGCGGUUCAAUAAGUCUGAUGUGAAAGCCUUCGGCUCAACCGGAGAAUUGCAUCAGAAACUGUUGAACUUGAGUGCAGAAGAGGAGAGUGGAACUCCAUGUGUAGCGGUGGAAUGCGUAGAUAUAUGGAAGAACACCAGUGGCGAAGGCGGCUCUCUGGUCUGCAACUGACGCUGAGGCUCGAAAGCAUGGGUAGCGAACAGGAUUAGAUACCCUGGUAGUCCAUGCCGUAAACGAUGAGUGCUAAGUGUUGGGAGGUUUCCGCCUCUCAGUGCUGCAGCUAACGCAUUAAGCACUCCGCCUGGGGAGUACGACCGCAAGGUUGAAACUCAAAGGAAUUGACGGGGGCCCGCACAAGCGGUGGAGCAUGUGGUUUAAUUCGAAGCAACGCGAAGAACCUUACCAGGUCUUGACAUCCAGUGCAAACGUAAGAGAUUAGGAGUUCCUUUCGGGGACGCUGAGACAGGUGGUGCAUGGCUGUCGUCAGCUUGUGUCGUGAGAUGUUGGGUUAAGUCCCGCAACGAGCGCAACCCUCGUCAUUAGUGGCCAUCACUAAGUUGGGCACUCUAAUGAGACUGCCGGUGACAAACCGGAGGAAGGAGU